rnacentral:sRNA from 1 species
UACGACAUACCAUAGUCGGCGCGAACAACAAUAUGGAGAGGGAAAUCCGAAAGGAGAAAGGGUCGCUUCGUUUCAAAGCGAUGUGAACAGCAGUACGAGUCCUCCGAAAAUGACAACUGAGAGAUGAGGAAAGAUGGGGAAAAAAUUUGAACAAAAUAAUCGCCAACACAAUUAUUUUAGAACUGCAACUAACGAGCGAAAUGAGUCAGAGGAAAUUCCAGUAGAGAAAAUCGAGAUAGUUUACAGCAAAAAUGUGGUAAUUGCCACAUUAUCCAGAUAGCUGCAGCAUGAUGAGAAGAUCCCUGGUACUGUUUUGUCCAAACAAAAUUUCCAAUUUCUUGCUCUGCAUCUGAAGUGACAGUCAUAACUGUGAAAGGUGGUCAAUGUUCCACAGAGGCAAACCUGUUCAAUCCAGCAAAUUUCCUCUGCGUUUGAGUUCUUCGUUGACUUCAUUGACAAGGAGAAUCACGAAGUGUAUGGAUAGAAAAAUAGCUGCCAGUGAACUAUGCAGUUCUGAAGCUAGCAUUUAGUAGAGGAAGAGGGCACACAACAAGUUUUGUCAAAAGAGUGUCGAAGUGGACCAAGAGUAACAAAGUCAUCAAAGAUGACAUUCGCUUGCUGAACAUUUUGAAUAUACUUUUAAAAGUGAUAGUUAAAGCUCAUUAUAUCAGAAGUACAUUUGUUUGCUGAACAUUUUGGAUAUACUUUUAUAAGUGAUAGUUAAAGCUCAUUAUAUCAGAAGUGAUAGUUAAAGUUCAUUAUAUCAGAAGUGUAUAUACUGCCUUUGAUUUUCAUUAUUCCUGAACUAGUUAUUAGGUCCAGUACAUGUAUGUACUGUAUGAUGUAACACAACAAAACACCCCCCCCCCUCCAAAAAAAUAAUCCUGAUUAAGAAAAAUUGAUAAAUUCUACUGAUAGUAUUACUAUAUUUUGAAUCACUCAUCGCUAUGAAGUGUUCAAUUUAUGUCUAUAUUCUAGCUACCUGAAUAGAAUGAUUUUGUCAUUCAGGGAAUUUUCAUAAAACAAAUGUUUUUCAACUGAUCAGAUGAAGUAAUGUGCAACUUCUUAUAUCAAUAGACAAGACAGUAUUUUAUUGCAACCAUAUAUUGAUGUGUGUUCAUUUACAAUAUAACCUAACAGUUUAUUAGAAUAUAUCAUACAUAUCAUACAUGUAAUUGUAUGUAUAUGAACUAUCAAUGUAUGCUCUGACCUAGAACACAUAUAUACUGGUUAAAACUUAUUGAUCAGACAUCAAUCCAUUUUGAAGUUGCAGUUUUUUCAUUCCAUGUCAUUGCUUGCAUUCAUUGAGAAAAUACUGUCAAUCAAAAUCUAUGCAUCUAGCUGCUUUUUUUUUUGUCAAAGAAAAAUAUCAAAUGAAUUUUUAAUUUCAUAAUUAUUACAUUAUUUUAAAAACUUUGAUGAAUUUGAACAUAUAAUUAGCAAGAAAAACCUACUCUCAUUCCAUGUUAUUCACACCAAGGUCAAGGUCACACCCAGAAGAUGGUUUAUAAGCACUAUUUUUAUGAUUAUUUUAAAGUUUAUUUUGUUGUAUGUCUUCUAUAUAUUCUUGAAAUACUAUUCUUUACAUAAAUACAAUUGUUAUUGAAAAUAAAUACACCAAUUUUAAAAUUUUGGUGAAUAAAAGUUUACGUUUUGCUGC